UACGUAGGGUGCAAGCGUUGUCCGGAAUUAUUGGGCGUAAAGAGCUCGUAGGCGGCUUGUCACGUCGACUGUGAAAACCCGGGGCUCAACUCCGGGCCUGCAGUCGAUACGGGCUGGCUUGAGUGCGGUAGGGGAGACUGGAAUUCCUGGUGUAGCGGUGAAAUGCGUAGAUAUCGCUUGGAACGCCAAAGGUGAAAACAGGUUGCUGGGGUUGUGCCGACGCUGAGACACGAAAGCCAGGGGAGCAAACGGG
rnacentral:rRNA from 1 species